rnacentral:rRNA from 1 species
UGACAGUACUCCUACGGGGAGGCAGCAGUGGGGGAAUAUUGCACAAUGGGCGCAAGCCUGAUGCAGCCAUGCCGCGUGUGUGAAGAAGGCCUUCGGGUUGUAAAGCACUUCAGUCGUGAGGAAGGUAGUGUAGUUAAUAGCUGCAUUAUUUGACGUUAGCGACAGAAGAAGCACCGGCUAACUCCGUGCCAGCAGCCGCGGUAAUACGGAGGGUGCGAGCGUUAAUCGGAAUUACUGGGCGUAAAGCGCAUGCAGGUGGUUUGUUAAGUCAGAUGUGAAAGCCCGGGGCGUCAACCUCGGAAUAGCAUUUGAAACUGGCAGACUAGAGUACUGUAGAGGGGGGUAGGAAUUUCAGGUGUAGCGGUGAAAUGCGUAGAGAUCUGAAGGAAUACCGGUGGCGAAGGCGGCCCCCUGGACAGAUACUGACACUCAGAUGCGAAAGCGUGGGGAGCAAACAGGAUUAGAUACCCUGGUAG